AUACGUAGGGGGCGAGCGUUGUCCGGAAUGAUUGGGCGUAAAGGGCGCGUAGGCGGCGCGGUAAGUCUGGAGUGAAAGUCCUGCUUUCAAGGUGGGAAUUGCUUUGGAUACUGCCGCGCUUGAGUGCAGGAGAGGUUAUCGGAAUUCCCGGUGUAGCGGUGAAAUGCGUAGAGAUCGGGAGGAACACCAGUGGCGAAGGCGGGUAACUGGACUGCAACUGACGCUGAGGCGCGAAAGUGUGGGGAGCAAACAGGAUUAGAUGCCCUGGUAGUCCACACUGUAAACGAUGAAUGCUAGGUGUAAGAGGUAUCGACCCCUUUUGUGCCGGAGUCAACACAAUAAGCAUUCCGCCUGGGGAGUACGGCCGCAAGGUUGAAACUCAAAUGAAUUGACGGGG
rnacentral:rRNA from 1 species